GUGAAGAACGUAGCGAAAUGCGAUAAGUAAUGUGAAUUGCAGAAUUCAGUGAAUCAUCGAAUCUUUGAACGCACAUUGCGCCCCUUGGUAUCCCGAGGGGCAUGCCUGUUCGAGCGUCAUUUCACCACUCAAGCCUGGCUUGGUGUUGGGCGACGUCCCCUUUGGGGACGCGCCUCGAAACGCUCGGCGGCGUGGCACCGGCUUUAAGCGUAGCAGAAUCUUUCGCUUUGGAAGUCGGGGCCCCGUCUGCCGGAAGACCUACUCGCAAGGUUGACCUCGGAUCAGGCAGGGAUACCCGCUGAACUUAAGCAUAUCAAUAAGCGGAGGA
rnacentral:misc_RNA from 1 species